UACGUAGGGGGCUAGCGUUGUCCGGAAUCACUGGGCGUAAAGGGUGCGUAGGCGGGUCUUUAAGUCAGGGGUGAAAUCCUGGAGCUCAACUCCAGAACUGCCUUUGAUACUGAGGAUCUUGAGUACGGGAGAGGUGAGUGGAACUGCGAGUGUAGAGGUGAAAUUCGUAGAUAUUCGCAAGAACACCAGUGGCGAAGGCGGCUCACUGGCCCGUAACUGACGCUGAGGCACGAAAGCGUGGGGAGCAAACAGG
rnacentral:rRNA from 1 species